UACGUAGGGUGCGAGCGUUAAUCGGAAUUACUGGGCGUAAAGCGUGCGCAGGCGGUUAUGUAAGACAGAUGUGAAAUCCCUCGGCUCAACCGGGGAACUGCGUCCGAUACUGGUGGGCUCGAAUCCGGGAGAGGGAUGUGGAAUUCCAGGUGUAGCGGUGAAAUGCGUAGAUAUCUGGAGGAACACCGGUGGCGAAGGCGGCAUCCUGGACCGGUAUUGACGCUGAUGCGCGAAAGCCAGGGGAGCAAACAGG
rnacentral:rRNA from 1 species